ensembl:miRNA MIR125B2 microRNA 125b-2
GACUUUUCCUAGUCCCUGAGACCCUAACUUGUGAGGUAUUUUAGUAACAUCACAAGUCAGGCUCUUGGGACCUAGGCGGAGGG